rnacentral:rRNA from 19 species
UUUCUUGACGACCAUAGAGCAUUGGAACCACCUGAUCCCAUCCCGAACUCAGCAGUGAAACGAUGCAUCGCCGAUGGUAGUGUGGGGUUUCCCCAUGUGAGAGUAGGUCAUCGUCAAGAUUG